AUUGAACGCUGGCGGCAUGCUUUACACAUGCAAGUCGAACGAGUGGCGAACGGGUGAGUAAUAUAUCGGAACGUACCGAGUAAUGGGGGAUAACAAAUCGAAAGAUUGGCUAAUACCGCAUAUUAUUCGAGCGGCCGAUAACUGAUUAGCUAGUUGGUGUGGAAAAGGCCUACCAAGGCGACGAUCAGUAGCGGGUCUGAGAGGACGAUCUGCCACACUGGGACUGAGACACGGCCCGGACUCCUACGGACGUCAGCAGAGGGGAAUUGUGGACAAUGGGGGCAACCCUGAUCCAGCCAUGCCGCGUGUAUGAAGAAGGCCUUCGGGUUGUAAAGUACUUUUGUUAGGUAAGCGGUGCCUAAGGAAUAAGCACCGGCUAACUACGUGCCAGCAGCCGCGGUAAUUC
rnacentral:rRNA from 1 species